rnacentral:tRNA from 1 species
GAAGAAAUGGCUGAGUGGUUAAGGCGAUAGGCUGUAAACUUAUUGUCGUGAGACGUCGUAGGUUCGAAUCCUACUUUCUUCA